rnacentral:rRNA from 1 species
UACGGGGGGAGCAAGCGUUGUCCGGAAUCAUUGGGCGUAAAGAGCGUGUAGGCGGCCAGAAAAGUCCGCUGUGAAAACUCGAGGCUCAACUUCGAGCUGUCGGUGGAAACUUUCUGGCUAGAGUCCGGAAGAGGAGAAUGGAAUUCCUGGUGUAGCGGUGAAAUGCGCAGAUAUCAGGAAGAACACCCGUGGCGAAGGCGGCUUUCUGGGACGGUACUGACGCUGAGGCGCGAAAGCGUGGGGAGCAAACAGG